ensembl:lncRNA
CACCGGGUGUUCGUAAUUUUGGUUCAAGUGAAUUGAUAAACUUUUUGAAGGCAAUUGACUCACACAGUUAUGUAGAUAUCCCCGUCCUGUUGUCUCGGGAUGCAUCACGCUGCCUUGCCUGGGUUAGCUUCUGUUUUCUGGGGAUGAGGGUUGAGUGUGCUCCCUUACCUUCUCAAGGUAAGCUAGGUUAGCCUUCUUGUGUGAGCUUUUCAAGUGCACUUUAAGGUUUGUGGGAAUUUUUUCCCCUUUAGAAAUGUCCCUCAUAAUUUGUCUCUUUCCACUACAAGACACUUGCUUUAUCCAAAACACAGUCAUAUUCAAAGUAAUCCCAAAUUGGAAUCUGGCGCUUUCUCCCGACUUUUCCUGACAUGAUUCUGCGCGUGGACGGAGCAGCAACACAGACGACUCGACUAACGUACUGCCACCUGCUGGCAUAAUUAGACAGCAAGAAAAAAAUCUGGAAACUAAACUUCAUUUUCACCCUUGACUAUUGUAUGACAUGCACACAUCAAUGAAAACUAAAUACAGUUUUGCUAUAAAUGCAGUUAAUUUUUAUUAGUUUUGUGAACACUCAUUACAGUUUUAGUUAGUUUUCCUUUUUUUGUUUUUAUUUUUAUUUCCAUUAACGAAAAUGUUUUUUCACUUCUAGUUUUCAUUAUUUCCUUAGUUUUCGUUAGCAAUAAUAACCUUGGUUAUGAUUCAGAAUUGGUGACUGAAGACUGCCAUGACCACCCCGUUUCCCUGAACGUAAAAAGCUUCGCAAUUUAACAUCACAAAGGUCUUUAGAUUCCACACACUGGAGAUUGUGUCAAUCUGACGAAAUUCCUUGGAGGAGUUCGUCAAAGUAUACGGUGCCUGAAAAGAGGGGAAAAUGUCGCCAAAAUUACACAUUAAUUUUAAAAUGGCUGACUUCCUGUUGGAUUUGGGAUAAAGCUCCAAGAGACUUUUUUGUACAUCUUCAUGUCUUCUAUAAGCUUACCAGGUUUCAGACUCAUUGAUAAAAC